CUGAAGGGUUUGGCUUUGAAGAUUCGGUUUGUGGCUCUCCCAACCAUUUCCCUUGAUUUUUCUUGAGGUUAAGCUCAGUGGGAAGCUAGGGUUAGCUGAGCAUCAAGGAUCCUAAGCUAGGCUUGAGGAUUGGCAAGGGAUUAGCAAGAUCAAAUCAGAGAUUUGAGGUCAAGGUUGUGAAGGUGCAAGCCAAGGAGGUCUAGGGUUCAGUUCAAGGUCGAAAUUCCACCCACGGUAUGAUUUCUAAGACCCUAUCCUUGUUGUUUGAGUGAUUUUCUGGUUUUUGGGUUCAUUGGGUUAGAUUUUGAAUUGUGGGUUGCUUGAGCUUGGGAUUGAGUUCAUGGGGUGCUUGGGAUGAGUGUGUGGUGUGUAUAAGUUUGUUUUUGGGCUUGAGAAAGAGUUGGACAAGUUUGGGGUCGAAAUGGGGGAAGAAAAUCGCAAGAUGCGAUUUUUGGUUUUGGUCUGCUGCAACUAGCGCUACAGCGCUAGGCAGGGGGCGCUGUAGCGCUAGCCCUGUUCUGGUGAGGGUGGUUCUGCUUGUAGCGCUACAGCGCCCUCUUUUGAGCGCUGUAGCGCUGCACUGUUCACAGAGGGGAUUUUUGGGCUUUUGUGAAGGGAUUUUGACCUAGGGUUCGGGGCUUGAUUCCGCCACUUUGUUUUGGGGAUCUAGGACUUCCCGGGGGCUCGGGAUUAGUCCCGAGGCUAGGUUUCGGACUUGAGGAUUGGUGAUGACUUUGACUUGUGGAUUUUGCUUAGGUAAGCGCUAGGGCUCGGGUAAGAUCGUGCUCAAGGAGUCAGGUUGAUCAAGGCUACUGAAUCUAAAGGUAGAAGCAAGGAGUCAGUCAACCGGCCAUGAGUAUGGAGAGCGUGGGGGCGACGCGUACAUGUUCGGCCUGCCCGACUGCUUUGGUUGGGGCAUUUUGUAUAUGGCUGUAUUAAAUCAUUCUUUUGAUAACUGAUCAAGUGUAAAUCUAUUUUUGAGUUGUAAAUAUUUUGUAAACCUCAUUUUGGGAUCCCAGAUGUUUCACAUUUAACGUUUUCAAUGAAACUAAUCAUUUUCGAAGAGUACAGCCUUAAACUCUGAUUUAUUCACACUUUUGGUUUUAGAAACCACUUA